AAAGCUACCUGGAAGGGCAAUGGGCAACCACAUAAUAAGCCCCAUCAACACACACCAACCUACUUUUGCAGGAAGAAUGAUUUUCAUUCAUAGAAUUUUGAAUCUUAGCUUCAUUCUCUAUACAUCUUUUUAUAAUCAAGCCAAUGUAACCCUAUGUUCUUAUUGCAAUUAGGUUCAGAAGGCUUAUCUGCAUUUUCAUCCAUAUUUCUUAUGUGAACUCUCUUUCAUUUAAGCUUUGUUACAAUUAUUUACAGGAAGAGGCAGUUUGCAGUGGUUGAAAAUCCUGGUUUUUGGAACUGGACAUUUACUUUAAAGGAUAGUGAUGGGAACGUGCUUGCUGAGAUUGAUCGUGACUGGAGGGGCAUCGGCUUUGAGCUCUUCACCGAUGCAGGUCAGUACGUCAUCCGGUUUGGGCAUGCGGAUCCAAUUUCUAAGACUGGGCCAGCUCAUGCAAUUCAAGAAUUAGAAAUUAGCCGCCCAUUGACUCUAUCAGAAAGGGCUGUGGCUGUUGCUCUUGCUGUGUCAUUGGACAACGACUAUUUCUCUAGGCAUGGGGGUUGGGGAGUCCCUUUCAUUGCAGUCGGCGAAUAGACAGGUGCGUGGCACACUGCUUUUGCAGUUAUUCCUUUGUGCUGUUGUCUGCUUGUGUUUUUCCCAAGAAUCUCCUUCACCUUUGUCCAUGUAAGUUCUGUGAGAGAGUAUAGGGGUUGGUUUAGCUGCUGCUGUAACAAAUGCUGUUAACCAACUUGCAAGCAAAAUGAUCAAAAUAGCGUAUAACUCUACAGCAUGUGAUGAUUGAAGGUAGUUUGUACCAUCUCGGCAAAGAAACAAUGUUUUUUUUUUUUUUUUUUUUUUUUUUAAAGGAUAAAGAAAUAAUGUUAUUUGUACCAUCUCGGCAAAGAAACAAUGUCAUUGCUGAAAACGAGAUUCAUUUGAAGCCA